UACAGAGGGUGCAAGCGUUAUUCGGAAUUACUGGGCGUAAAGCGUGCGUAGACGGUUAUGUAAGUCAGAUGUGAAAGCCCCGGGCUCAACCUGGGAAUUGCAUUUGAGACUGCAUAGCUAGAGUGCGGAAGAGGGAAGCGGAAUUUCCGGUGUAGCGGUGAAAUGCGUAGAUAUCGGAAGGAACACCAGUGGCGAAAGCGGCUUCCUGGUCCAGCACCGACGUUCAGGCACGAAAGCGUGGGGAGCAAACAGG
rnacentral:rRNA from 1 species